rnacentral:snRNA from 1 species
AGACUUACCUGGCGUAGGGGUUACCAUGAUCACGAAGGCGGUUCCCUCACGACGAGGCCUUUAUAUUACACUACGGUCGGGAUGAAUCCUGCGAAUACCCCAAAUGUGGGUAUCUCGGGCGCCUAAUUUUGGUAGCGGGGACUGCGUCCGCGCCCUAA